rnacentral:rRNA from 1 species
GAUGAACGCUGGCGGCGUGCCUAACACAUGCAAGUCGAACGGAGAUGCGAUGUGAGCGAGAGGUGCUUGCACUGAACAAUCUUUUCGUAUCUUAGUGGCGGACGGGUGAGUAACGCGUGGGUAACCUGCCUUAUACCGGGGGAUAACACUUAGAAAUAGGUGCUAAUACCGCAUAAGCGCACGGUGUCGCAUGACACAGUGUGAAAAACUCCGGUGGUAUAAGAUGGACCCGCGUCUGAUUAGCUAGUUGGUGAGAUAACAGCCCACCAAGGCGACGAUCAGUAGCCGACCUGAGAGGGUGACCGGCCACAUUGGGACUGAGACACGGCCCAGACUCCUACGGGAGGCAGCAGUGGGGAAUAUUGCACAAUGGAGGAAACUCUGAUGCAGCGACGCCGCGUGAGUGAAGAAGUAAUUCGUUAUGUAAAGCUCUAUCAGCAGGGAAGAUAGUGACGGUACCUGACUAAGAAGCUCCGGCUAAAUACGUGCCAGCCGCCGCCGUAA